CCCUUAGACGUUCUGGGCCGCACGCGCGCUACACUGACCAGUGCAACAAGCAUCCGUCCUUGGCCGACAGGCCCGGGCAAUCUUUGAACGCUGGUCGUGAUGGGGAUAGACUUUUGCAAUUUUUGGUCUUCAACGAGGAAUUCCUAGUAAACGCAAGUCAUCAACUUGCAUUGAUUACGUCCCUGCCCUUUGUACACACCGCCCGCCGCACCUACCGAUUGAAUGGUCCGGUGAAGCCUCCGGAUUGGCGCGCACCCCGGUGCCGCCGAGAAGUUGGCUAAACCUUACCAUUUAGAGGAAGGUGAAGUCGUAACA
rnacentral:rRNA from 1 species